GACGAACGCUGGCGGCGUGCCUAAUACAUGCAAGUUGAGCGAUGAAGAUUGGUGCUUGCACCAAUUUGAAGAGCAGCGAACGGGUGAGUAACGCGUGGGGAAUCUGCCUUUGAGCGGGGGACAACAUUUGGAAACGAAUGCUAAUACCGCAUAACAACUUUAAACAUAAGUUUUAAGUUUGAAAGAUGCAAUUGCAUCACUCAAAGAUGAUCCCGCGUUGUAUUAGCUAGUUGGUGAGGUAAAGGCUCACCAAGGCGAUGAUACAUAGCCGACCUGAGAGGGUGAUCGGCCACAUUGGGACUGAGACACGGCCCAAACUCCUACGGGAGGCAGCAGUAGGGAAUCUUCGGCAAUGGACGAAAGUCUGGCCGAGCAACGCCGCGGGAGUGAAGAAGGUUUUCGGAUCGUAAAACUCUGUUGGUAGAGAAGAACGUUGGUGAGAGUGGAAAGCUCAUCAAGUGACGGUAACUACCCAGAAAGGGACGGCUAACUACGUG
rnacentral:rRNA from 1 species